GAUGAACGCUGGCGGCGUGCCUAAUACAUGCAAGUCGAGCGAACAGACGAGGAGCUUGCUCCUUCGACGUUAGCGGCGGACGGGUGAGUAACACGUAGGUAACCUACCUAUAAGACUGGGAUAACUUCGGGAAACCGGAGCUAAUACCGGAUAAUAUUUCGAACCGCAUGGUUCGAUAGUGAAAGAUGGCUUUGCUAUCACUUAUAGAUGGACCUGCGCCGUAUUAGCUAGUUGGUAAGGUAACGGCUUACCAAGGCAACUAUAUGUAGCCGACCUGAGAGGGGGUUAGGCCACUGUAGUGUUCACACACGCUUCGGACGUCUGCGGAAGGAACCAUGAGGGACUUACUCGCGAAGAAGGAAACGCGGGCCAAACAACGCGGCGAGAGGGAGGAAGGUAAUCGCUAAGUAAAACUCUCUUUUUGGCGAAGACCAUGGGUGUAAGUAGCUGUGGACGUGUACUAGGGGCAAGAGUAGAGGGCCACGGCUAAGUUAGGU
rnacentral:rRNA from 1 species